GGUCCCAUCGUCUAACGGUUAGGACACCAGAUUUUCAAUCUGGUAAUCGGAGUUCGAUUCUCCGUGGGAUCACCA
rnacentral:tRNA from 1 species